CUCCCGGGGGCCGUGCCUGCCGCGGCCGCCGCUUCUUUCACACUUUAGUUGGGAGCCGCGCGCCGCGCUCAGUGACUGGCGAGCUGGCCGCGCGCCGCCGCCUCCCGCCUGCACGCACGCGGGCCCGGCUUCGGGGCUUUCGGCGGCUACUCCCGGCCGCGGGGCGGAGGGGGAGCCCGGGACCCUCGGUGGGCAGGCGGAGGAAGAGGAGGAGGAGGGAGGAAGAACCCGGCGCGGAGGCGAGGGGCGGGGGGCGGGAGGCUUGCCACCUUCAGCCCCCCCCGCGAGCGCCCAAGGUGCGCACAUCUCGACCCACUCAGCAGGAAGGCGGAUUUUCUUCGUGUUUAAAGAGAAGAAAAAUGUCCCCGUGUCUGUAGAGAUGAUUUGCAGUUCAGCCCGGCUGAAGCUGAGCGAAUGAGACUAUGGGCUGUGCCUCCGCCAAGCAUGUUGCCACUGUUCAAAACGAAGAGGAAGCCCAGAAAGGGAAAAACUACCAGAACGGAGAUGUGUUUGGCGAUGAGUAUAGGAUCAAACCGGUGGAAGAGGUCAAAUACAUGAAAAACGGGGCAGAAGAGGAGCAGAAAAUAGCAGCCAGGAACCAAGAAAACUUGGAAAAAAGUGCCAGUUCAAAUGCAAGACUUAAAACUAACAAAGAGAUUCCGGGAUUAGUUCAUCAACCCCGAGCAAACAUGCACAUCUCUGAGAGCCAACAAGAAUUCUUCAGAAUGCUGGAUGAAAAAAUCGAAAAGCAAUUAUGGUCAUUCCAGAGGAGCCGAUGCUUGGGAAAUGCAAGUUGCGGUCUUGAGUGUACACAGACGUUUAUAUAGAUUUGUUCCUCCAAAGGAGGCACUUGUUUAUGGUCAUAGUCAACGUGGAGAGUCUGAAAUGCACCUUCUACUUCAUAAGCCGUUUAUGGAGUUGGAGAUGCUGCUUUAUCAAUGAGUGCACCAGUUCACCUGUGUGUUGUCUGUCUGUCUGUCACUGGGCCCAAGUCUUCCUUGUGGAUGAGGGGCCCUCUGAACCCCAUCCUGGCCAGCUGGGCCUUUACUUCGAUGUGAGGCCUGCGUUAGAUAGAAGAAGGGAAGGGACUUAGGUGUCUGCCAUAGACGUUUUAUUCGAGAGCGUAUACGUGUGGCCUGUCUUGGGUGCAAGGCUGUGGUAGGAGGAAGGAGUCCCUGAGAGGUCACAGUUUAGGACCUCAGUCCUCACCUGUCAGUCGCAGGAAGGGGGUCCCUAUUCCUCUGCCAGGGGGCUGAACGAGCACGCGGUUUAAUAGUCAUAAUAAUACCAGCAGCUAAUAUGUAUUGCCUACCUGCCAGGCACUGUGUUUUUUUCCACCUAAUCCUGAUCAUGACCCUCCGAGGCAGAGACGAUGAUUAUCCCCAGGAAACCAAAGCCCAGUCAUUUGCCGAUGUCACACAACAGCGUGUGUCCCCAUAUGCACUGGAAAUGUGUCCUCUGUCCUUUCUUUUGAAAACUCCAUGAGCCCUGCCUUUCCCCUCCAGCUGAACGCCCCGUGCCCACUUACAGAUCUACUCCGGGGCCUGUGAGGAGAGCCCCACCUGGUAGGUGGGCUUCUAGCAUAGCGUUGCUAUGUCCGGAUGUGUCCUGUUUCCCACCCUGGGGAAUAAACUCCCAACAGUCAGGGUCCGUGAGGUUCUCCUUUCUCACUCUUCACCAUGUGGCCCGGAGGGUGUCUCCUGAUGGGUCCCCAUUUGCUUGGGAGGGGUCCCAGGGAGGCCGUCACUGUGGGGUGACUGCUGAGCGCACUCUUCUCUUCUCAGGGAGGUCGUUGCCCAGUUUCUCUCCCUAGGAGGCGUUUUCAUGCAGCGAAUAAAACCAGCCUGGCGACCACACUGGGGUCAGGCACUCCGCAAGUAGCAGGGGGAGAGCUGGCAAUCAGACGGUGGAGGAAACUAAAAUACGCUAAUGAAUGCCAGGAAUUUAAUCUCCAGCAACCCUGUGAAGUAAGGACUGUUGUUGGCUUCGUUGUACAGAUGGGGAAACUGAGACCCAGAGAGGUAACUUAAGUGAGAUCCCAGAGCUAGAAUCAAUCACCCUUCAGCCAGAUGGCCCAAUAAUUCAUCACAACGCCAGUUAAGUAUUAGGAGAAUGGGAAAUACUCCCAAUAUACAGAUACUGUGACAAAGGAACAUGUAAUACACUUGGUAAAUAGUUUUAUGCAACAUUAUUAUAUUCUUUAAGUUUAUGAAUAAGUUCUAGUUAUUGAGAAAAUUCUGUUUUUGAAGGAAUAUUCCCCCCCCCCAAAAAAAUUGAAAUAUAUAGCGUGUAUUUUAAAAGAAAAAGGACAAAGGAUGCGAAAGUAUUAAUGGUGACUUCUACAAAGCCCUAGUCUGCGACACUGUGAUGCGGGCAGGUGUUCUGUUCCUGUGAUGGAUUACAGACCAGGAAGCCGUGAGGUUCGACCGAAGCAACCCGGCCAGGUCAGAUGUGGAGCUUAAACCCCAGUCCUCAGGGCGCCUUCAUAGAGUGUACGUCCUGCUGGAAAGAAGAUGAAAUAUGUUCACAUGUCGCAAUUGCAUAGAGUCCGCAAGCCUUCUUGGUCGAGAUUACUGUUCGGAAGAAGAGGACAUCACAUAGCACCGACCUGGCACCCGAACCAGGAGCUACUACUGUGUAAAUAGGUGACACCCCAGUCGAAAUCUCUGCAAAGGUCGGUCCUCUUCACGGAACAGCACUAUAGCAAAAGAAGAUCGUUCCAUAUCGUAUGCCCCAUUAAAUUACAGUGUUUCCUAAUGAACUCGCAAAGGAAUAUUGCUAAAAAAACAAACAAAACAAAACAAAAAAAAAAAACCUGUCAUUGAACUUUCUUUGUUGCUGCUAGUUAAAACCUGUUGCAACUUUUCACUUCUCUCGUGUCCAGGUGUGCAGCAAAAUUCUGCGAUUUCACCUUAAAGAUACUGUCGGUCUUACGGGGUUCUCCAGCCCGUUUCCUAUAAGAUGAGGUAGUGGUGAACUCAGCUAUCAGACUUCUGUUCUCGGGCGGUCCCGCUUCUAAGCGUCUCCUUCCCUCUCUCCUUCCUCCCUGUUUGUCCCAAAGUGGUGCAGAGCCUUGCUUCUCACGGGCCUGGCGAUGUUGCGCUUUGGAGAUGGGAUGGUUGCUACGGCCUUGGUUCCCCGCUACGAAGCGGCAGAAAGCAUGCUGUGACCCUGACUCCUGGGCGCCACCCAGGAGCCCGCAGCAGGCUGUUUCGUUUACUGGGGUAUCUCCAUCAAGCAGUGAGCUCGCGACAUUGGCUUUGCUCAGAGGCAGACGGACGUGUGAUCACAAUCAUUUCAAAUCCCUCUCCCCCACUUUUUUUUCUAAGGAAAUAAACAUUUUACUGUUUUUAUGUA